rnacentral:tRNA from 1 species
GAGGGUAUAGCUCAGUGGUAGAGCUCAUGCUUAGCAUGCACGAGGUCCUGGGUUCAAUCCCCAGUACCUCCA